rnacentral:rRNA from 1 species
CCUACGGGAGGCAGCAGUGGGGGAUAUUGCACAAUGGGGGGAACCCUGAUGCAGCGACGCCGCGUGGGUGAAGAAGCGCCUCGGCGCGUAAAGCCCUGUCAGCAGGGAAGAAAAUGACGGCACCUGAAGAAGAAGCCCCGGCUAACUACGUGCCAGCAGCCGCGGUAAUACGUAGGGGGCAAGCGUUAUCCGGAUUUACUGGGUGUAAAGGGGGCGCAGACGGCGGUGCAAGACAGGAGUGAAAGCCCGGGGCCCAACCCUGGGACUGCUCUGGGAACUGAGCGGCUGGAGUGCCGGAGAGGCAG